rnacentral:rRNA from 1 species
AUUGAACGCUGGCGGCAUGCCUUACACAUGCAAGUCGAACGGCAGCGCGGGAGCAAUCCUGGCGGCGAGUGGCGAACGGGUGAGUAAUACAUCGGAACGUGCCCAAUCGUGGGGGAUAACGCAGCGAAAGCUGUGCUAAUACCGCAUACGAUCUACGGAUGUAAGCAGGGGAUCGCAAGACCUUGCGCGAAUGGAGCGGCCGAUGGCAGAUUAGGUAGUUGGUGAGGUAAAGGCUCACCAAGCCUUCGAUCUGUAGCUGGUCUGAGAGGACGACCAGCCACACUGGGACUGAGACACGGCCCAGACUCCUACGGGAGGCAGCAGUGGGGAAUUUUGGACAAUGGGCGAAAGCCUGAUCCAGCCAUGCCGCGUGCAGGAUGAAGGCCUUCGGGUUGUAAACUGCUUUUGUACGGAACGAAACGGUCUUUUCUAAUAAAGAAGGCUAAUGACGGUACCGUAAGAAUAAGCACCGGCUAACUACGUG